AGCGAACGCUGGCGGCAGGCUUAACACAUGCAAGUCGAGCGGGCCCUUCGGGGUCAGCGGCGGACGGGUGAGUAACGCGUGGGAACGUGCCUUCUGGUUCGGAAUAACCCUGGGAAACUAGGGCUAAUACCGGAUACGCCCUUAUGGGGAAAGGUUUACUGCCGGAAGAUCGGCCCGCGUCUGAUUAGCUGGUUGGUGGGGUAACGGCCUACCAAGGCGACGAUCAGUAGCUGGUCUGAGAGGAUGAUCAGCCACACUGGGACUGAGACACGGCCCAGACUCCUACGGGAGGCAGCAAUGGGGAAUAUUGGACAAUGGGCGCAAGCCUGAUCCAGCCAUGCCGCGUGAGUGAUGAAGGCCUUAGGGUUGUAAAGCUCUUUUAUCCGGGACGAUAAUGACGGUACCGGAGGAAUAAGCCCCGGCUAACUUCGUGCCAGCCGCCGCAGUAA
rnacentral:rRNA from 1 species